rnacentral:rRNA from 1 species
AGCAGCCGCGGUAAUUCCAGCUCCAAUAGCGUAUAUUAAAGUUGUUGCAGUUAAAAAGCUCGUAGUUGAAUUUCGAGAUCAAAUUGUUGGUCGUGCCUCGGUACGUACUGGCAUUAUUGAUUCCUCCCUUCUGAAGAACCACGAUGUCAUUAAUUUGGUGUCGUGGGGAAUCAGGACUGUUACUUUGAAAAAAUUAGAGUGUUUAAAGCAGGCUCACGCUUGAAUACAUUAGCAUGGAAUAAUGAAAUAGGACGUUUGAUUCUAUUUUGUUGGUUUCUAGGAUCGACGUAAUGAUUAAUAGGGAUAGUUGGGGGCAUUAGUAUUCAAUUGUCAGAGGUGAGAUUCUUGGAUUUAUUGAAGACUAACUACUGCGAAAGCAUUUGCCAAGGAUGUUUUCAUUAAUCAAGAACGAAAGUUAGGGGAUCGAAGACGAUCAGAUACCGUCGUAGUCUUAACCAUAAACUAUGCCGACUAGGGAUCGGAUGAUGUUAAUUUUUAAUGA